UACGUAGGGGGCAAGCGUUGUCCGGAAUCAUUGGGCGUAAAGAGCGUGUAGGCGGUCCGGUAAGUCGGCUGUGAAAGCCCCCGGCUCAACUGGGGAGGGUCACUCGAUACUGAUCGACUUGAAGGCGGGAGAGGGAAGCGGAAUUCCCGGUGUAGUGGUGAAAUGCGUAGAUAUCGGGAGGAACACCAGUGGCGAAAGGCGGCUUUCUGGCCCGUUCUUGACGCUGAGGCGCGAAAGCUAGGGUAGCAAACGGG
rnacentral:rRNA from 1 species